AGUUUCUGGGGCAAAUUGACUGAGAGGGGGAGGAGGCUGAGUGAACACAGGCUGAGAGCAUGGCUGAGACAAAGACAGGGUCUCGCUCUUGCUCAGGCUGGUCUUGAACUUCUGGGCUCAAGUGAUUUUCCUGCCUCAGCCUUCCAAGUAGCUGAGACUACAGGUCCCCACUGAAUUCCCCGCAGGCCAGGUCAAUUGGCGCCCAACGUGGGGCGAGGGUACGGGGGUCUCAUCGAAUGUUGCUGCCGGUAAGGGUACCCUUAUCAUUGGAUUGCCGCAACCCGAAGGUUGUGAGUGAAAAUCCGCACUGUGAUCGUCACGCCACAAGAAGGACGUGAGUGAAGAUCCGCGCCGCGAUCGCUGCAGAAUUGCCCACCUGCGAGUCUGAUCCGUCAAGAACCACGGAUUUCCAUCCAUGAUGCUGCCUUAUCUCCUGAUCUUCUACCUCCUGGCACUGGGCCAACCUGUUCCAGCAGUCACCAAGCCCUUCGCUUGGCGCUUCUAUUUAACCGAAAACACGACUGAUAAAAAAGUUUUCAGCCACCUCCUAGCCACUGCCGACUGCCCGCCUUCUGGAUGCAGUUCUACCAUUUUUCUUAAUUUUACUGACUUUAAAAUCCAAGCAUGGCAUUCCCGUCCACAUCUAUGUUUUUUAUACGAUCAAACCGAUCGUAAUUGUAAAGAUUACUGCUACAUGCAAAAUGUAGGCUGUCCCUAUUAUUACUGCAAUAUUCACCCAACCCAAUAUCCUGAUUCAAGUUAUUCCCUUAGUUCACUUCCUUAUAAUAGCCCCCAUAAGCUUUUUUACUUCCAAGACCACUACACCCUUAUCAUUCAAGAUCCAUGGGACAAUAGAUGGACAUCCCCUGUCAAAGGCGCCAUGUACCCUACCUCAUACAGCUCCUGGCCUUCCAGCAAGCUAUUCAUAUGGCGCUCCCUCGUACAAAUCCAAACCACCCUUCAUACCCAUAUUCAAAACCAAGAAAACGCCUUGCUUAGACAACUUGCACCCCCUUCCCCAAGUAACCCUACAAAAUAGACAAGCCUUAGACCUCCUCACCCCCGAAAAAGGAGGAACAUGUCUAUUUCUACAAGAGGAAUGUUGUUACUUUGUUAAUGAAUCAGGCAUAGUAGAAACACAGAUUAACAAACUCCAUAAGCUUAUCUUAGAUUUACAAAAUCAAAAAUUUUCUUCUGAGGCAAACGAGUGGUGGAAAUCCUCCAUGUACUCCUUACUCAUGCCCCUUGCAGGUCCCCUUAUUAGCUUGCUAUUACUAGUCACCCUUGGACCCAUUAUUCUUAACAAAAUCAUGAAUUUUAUCAAAUCACAGAUUGACUCGCUGGCAUCAAAACCCAUUCAAGUCCAUUAUCAUAGACUUGACCUUGCAGACCAGGGCCUUGCAGAACCUAACAACGAAGAUAUUCCUCCGGGAACCGCGUAAGCACUCAGAGCUAUGCAUGUUGACUCACCAUCAUAUGUGAGUACAACCUGGGUACCUUUUUACGGGGUGCAAUAAAGACACUGCAGAGGGAAGGCAUAAACAGCCUCUCUGAGUCCCUUGGAAGCAAACCUGAUUUGCAUAGAGGUUAGCGUCGUAAAAAUUUCUCCUCUCCUCCCCAAAAGACGCUCAAACUUAUCAUGCGGUCAUUAUGCCCACGGGAGGAAUCAGGUCAAUACUUCCCCCCAAAAGGUUAAUGCCCUCUUCUCAACGCUGACAACUGACAGACCCCAACAAAUUUAAAAACUAAAAGGGAGGAGAUGCCGGGAGCCAAAACACCUCACAAAAAUGCCCCUUACUAGUUUGCUUGAUUUGCAGUUUAACGAACAAACUAUUCUCAGGAAUUCAACCGUAACAGCAGCGGUACCUUCCGCUUACAUAACUCCACCCCCCGCCUUAGGGACCUUCUGCUAGUAAUUUUCCAGAAACUAGCCCUCCCCUGCCCUGCUAGGAAUAGCCCUUAGUUACUUCCUCAUUUGUGUGCUUAUAAGUCCAGCUGAAAAAUA